UACAGAGGGUGCAAGCGUUGUUCGGAAUUACUGGGCGUAAAGCGCACGUAGGCGGCUUUGUAAGUUAGAGGUGAAAGCCCGGGGCUCAACCCCGGAAUUGCCUUUAAGACUGCAUCGCUUGAAUCCGGGAGAGGUGAGUGGAAUUCCGAGUGUAGAGGUGAAAUUCGUAGAUAUUCGGAAGAACACCAGUGGCGAAGGCGGCUCACUGGACCGGUAUUGACGCUGAGGUGCGAAAGCGUGGGGAGCAAACAGG
rnacentral:rRNA from 1 species